rnacentral:rRNA from 1 species
AAACCAGCACCUCAAGUGGUCAGGAUGAUUAUUGGGCCUAAAGCAUCCGUAGCCUGCUCUGUAAGUUUUCGGUUAAAUCUGUAUGCUCAACAUACAGGCUGCCGGGAAUACUGCAGAGCUAGGGAGUGGGAGAGGUAGACGGUACUCGGGAGGAAGUGGUAAAAUGCUUUGAUCUCUCGAUGACCACCUGUGGCGAAGGCGGUCUACCAGAACACGUCCGACGGUGAGGGAUGAAAGCUGGGGGAGCAAAACGGAUUAGAAACCCGGGUAGUCC